GGUCCAAAGUAAAAUUAUAGCUCACAAAGCUAUCCUCCAUAUCACAUACUAACAGAUUGCCAUAUUGGAAACAUCCAACAAAACAACUAAAUAAUACCACAACAAACUUCUUGCCAUAAACGUAUAAUUAUAGCAUGAAAUAUGUGAGGCUAAAGAACAAGAAGAAAUGACUAGCAAGGAAUUGGAAUAAAAGAAUCAAAAAAUAAAUAAAAAAUACCUCUCUACAGAAGCAAUCCAAUAAAAAAAUUAUGAACAAUAGUAUAUAUUGCUU
rnacentral:lncRNA from 1 species